rnacentral:misc_RNA from 1 species
AGGAGCGUACAGAUAAUGGCGAGGACGCUGAGGAGUCAGGACGCACGGGCCUACGGGGAGUUCGCGCAAUGGUGCGCGAGAAACCCGCGCGAGUACGAGAAGCUGCUGGAGAAGGUCGAUCUUCCGGGACUCAAGCCCGAAGAGAAGGCGGAUCGCGCGUUCGGUCUGU